rnacentral:sRNA from 1 species
GCUGGGUGCAGUGGCCUACCCCUGUAAUUCCAGCAGCACAGGAGGCUGAGGCAGGAGGAUCAUGGGUUCAAAGCCAGCCUUGAGUGAGGUGCUAAGCAACUCAGUGAGACCCUAUCUCUA